GCUCGCUUCGCCAAGCGGCCAAGGCAUCGGUCUCACGUGCCGACAUUCCCAGGUUCGAGUCCUGGAGCGAGCACCA
rnacentral:tRNA from 1 species